rnacentral:rRNA from 1 species
UACGUAGGGCGCAAGCGUUAUCCGGAAUUAUUGGGCGUAAAGAGCUCGUAGGUGGUUUGUCGCGUUGUUCGUGAAAACUCACAGCUCAACUGUGGGCGUGCGGGCGAUACGGGCAGACUUGAGUACUGCAGGGGAGACUGGAAUUCCUGGUGUAGCGGUGAAAUGCGCAGAUAUCAGGAGGAACACCGGUGGCGAAGGCGGUUCUCUGGGCAUUACCUGACGCUGAGGAGCGAAAGUGUGGGGAGCGAACAGG